ensembl:lncRNA
GAAAUUUAACUCUUUAAUUGCCUACAUUAACCACUGUACAAUACAUAAGUACAGAAAAUAUUAAGCUAGCCCCUUUCUCUGAUACAGUCCUCACCUUCCAAGUCAGACUUCAUUCCUCCUGGAAGAAGUGUUCCCAAAAGCCAUAGAAAUGACCCAAAAGACACCUAACUAGAAAUUAGCUACAUAGCAUGACUCAUCUUAUACUGGUGGGACUGCCUGAUGGCUGUAAGCAGAGGGUGCAUAACUCUUUGAGUCAUCAGUAAGAGCAAAUAUUAACAGGACUAACACUAGCAAUUACAGCCAUGUAAAAUUUUUAUGAAGACAACUUUAAAUUCUGUUUGAUGCUACUGUAGAGAGAAGUGAAAUCAGUGGAAAGUGAGCUGGCUUGAAAGCUCAGUGUGGAUAAACAAUGCGAAAUUAGGAAGAAUAAACAUCAGCUAUUGCUACUGAUAACAGUUAAUGUUUGAAGCACAGCCAGAAAGUUAGCAGCAAGAGCACAGCCUGCAUUUUCAAGUGAGAAGUGAGUUUGUGUCCCUUGUUUUCAGAGAGAGCAUUUUUUCCAAUGUUGUUUUCUUACUGCUAGUAGGUUGUCAUGUACCCAGAGCCCUGUUGCUGUAAACAUCCAUCUAAGAGAGCCAAUGGAUCACGGUGUGGCCCCUGUUCACAACACAGCUGCCUAUGUGGAGAAACCAGACUGCUUAGUAAGGAGGAAAGGAAAGGCUUGUGCAUAUUUCUGUUUCAACAAUCUAAACUUCAGAAGCUGAGAUGCACACAGGCUCAGAAACCAGAAGUCUCUUCUCGGUCAGGUCUUUGCAGGAUGGCCGAUUUGAUGGAUGUAUGAAACCAAUUAUGCUGGAGAUGACCAGAAGGAAUUCACGAUUUUCCACGUGUGUAACUGGUUUUUUGCUUCAGGAAAUCAUGUAUUUGCCAUACAUGAUUAAUGAUACUGUAAGCAGAUAUAUAAAUGCUGUCAUUUUUAAAAUUGCUGAGUUGCAGUGACGUGAUAUACUUUCAUAGUCCACCAAAAAAAGAAGUAAUAAAGUGUUUACAUUCAGCUGCUCACCUAGACAUACAGAUCAGACAUUUUAUUGUGCUAUAUAAUUUUUUUAAAGUGUUGGCCUUGUAAAGUAUUUUGUAUUUGACUGGGCCCAGGAAAUAAAGCUUGUGCCAAAAGAAAAAUCUAAACAAGAUGACCUGUGAAUAUUCGGGACACCCAAAGCACCUUAGCACAAUGUUACUGCAAUAAACAGUUAUGAGUAAUAUAUAGAUAUUUUUAGCCCUACCUUUAGGUUUAUUUAGCUUUAUACAUGUAUGGAGUGUUCUUCAUUUUAUUUUUUUUUUACCCUUUAUGGUAAACAACUUUAUAGCAUGCUCUAUAUCUUAAUUACUUCUGUUGAAGACAGUCAAGUUAACAUCUUCCAAGUUUAAGGAAAUAGCGUGGAAGUUGAAGAAAUUGUAUGCUUCUGGGAUGAACAGUGGCUGCAGUAAGAUGAGC